UCCCUGGAGGACUAGCGGUUAGGCCUUGGUGCGCUCACCGCCAUGGCCUGGGUUCGAUUCCUGGCCUGGGAA